CCUACGGGAGGCAGCAGUGAGGAAUAUUGGUCAAUGGGCGAGAGCCUGAACCAGCCAAGCCGCGUGAAGGAUGACGGCCCUACGGGUUGUAAACUUCUUUUGUCAGGGAGCAAAUGAGUCCACGUGUGGUCUUAGCGAGAGUACCUGAAGAAAAAGCAUCGGCUAACUCCGUGCCAGCAGCCGCGGUAAUACGGGGGAUGCGAGCGUUAUCCGGUUUUAUUGGGUUUACAGGGUGCGUAGGCGGAAUAUCAAGUCAGCGGUAAAAAUUCGGGGCUAAACCCCGUCGUGCCGUUGAAACUGAUGAUCUUGAGUGGGCGAGAGGUAUGCGGAAUGCGUGGUGUAGCGGUGAAAUGCAUAGAUAUCACGCAGAACUCCGAUGGCGAAGGCAGCAUACCGGCGCCCAACUGACGCUGAGGCACGAAAGCGUGGGUAUCGAACAGGAUUAGAUACCCGAGUAGUC
rnacentral:rRNA from 1 species